rnacentral:rRNA from 1 species
AUUGAACGCUGGCGGCAUGCCUUACACAUGCAAGUCGAACGGCAGCACGGGGGCAACCCUGGUGGCGAGUGGCGAACGGGUGAGUAAUACAUCGGAACGUGCCCUGAAGUGGGGGAUAACGUAGCGAAAGUUACGCUAAUACCGCAUAUUCUGUGAGCAGGAAAGCAGGGGAUCGCAAGACCUUGUGCUUUAGGAGCGGCCGAUGUCGGAUUAGCUAGUUGGUGGGGUAAAGGCCUACCAAGGCUACGAUCUGUAGCGGGUCUGAGAGGAUGAUCCGCCACACUGGAACUGAGACACGGUCCAGACUCCUACGGGAGGCAGCAGUGGGGAAUUUUGGACAAUGGGCGCAAGCCUGAUCCAGCCAUGCCGCGUGAGUGAAGAAGGCCUUCGGGUUGGUUAAAGACGU